rnacentral:rRNA from 1 species
GUGGGGAAUAUUGGGCAAUGGACGCAAGUCUGACCCAGCAACGCCGCGUGAAGGAAGAAGGCUUUCGGGUUGUAAACUUCUUUGACAGGGGAAGAGUAGAAGACGGUACCCUGAAAACAAGCCACGGCUAACUACGUGCCAGCAGCCGCGGUAAUACGUAGGUGGCAAGCGUUGUCCGGAUUUACUGGGUGUAAAGGGCGUGUAGCCGGGUCGGCAAGUCAGAUGUGAAAUCUGGAGGCUCAACCUCCAAACUGCAUUUGAAACUGUUGAUCUUGAGUAUCGGAGAGGUAAUCGGAAUUCCUAGUGUAGCGGUGAAAUGCGUAGAUAUUAGGAGGAACACCAGUGGCGAAGGCGGAUUACUGGACGACAACUGACGGUGAGGCGCGAAAGCGUGGGGAGCAAACAGGA